rnacentral:rRNA from 1 species
AUACGGAGGGUGCAAGCGUUAUUCGGAAUCACUGGGCGUAAAGGACACGUAGGCGGGAAGCCAAGUCUGAUGUGAAAUCCUACAGCUUAACUGUAGAACUGCAUUGGAAACUGGUUACCUAGAGUAUGGGAGGGGGAGAUGGAAUUAGUGGUGUAGGGGUAAAAUCCGUAGAUAUCACUAGGAAUACCUAAAGCGAAGGCGAUCUCCUGGAACAUUACUGACGCUAAGGUGUGAAAGCGUGGGGAGCAAACGGGAUUAGAUACCCUUGUAGUCC